AUUGAACGCUGGCGGCGGGCCUAACACAUGCAAGUCGAACGCACUAGCAAUAGUGAGUGGCGCACGGGUGCGUAACACGUGGGUAAUCAACCCUUCAGCCUGGGAUAACGACUCGAAAGGGUCGCUAAUACCGGAUACGGCGCGAGAGGCUUCGGCUUCUCACGAGAAAGCCACGCAAGGGGCACUGAAGGACGAGCCUGCGGCCCAUCAGCUAGUUGGUGAGGUAAGAGCCUCACCGAAGGCUAAGACGGGUAGCUGGUCUGAGAGGAUGAUCAGCCACACUGGAACUGAGACACGGUCCAGACUCCUACGGGAGGCAGCAGGUGGGGAAUAUUGCGACAAGUGGGCGAAAGCCUGACGCAGCCACGCCGCGUGAGCGAUGAAGG
rnacentral:rRNA from 1 species